GAUGAACGCUGGCGGCAGGCCUAACACAUGCAAGUCGAACGAGUGGCGGACGGGUGAGUAAUGUCUGGGAAACUGCCCGAUGGAGGGGGAUAACUACUGGAAACGGUAGCUAAUAGCGGAGACCAUCGGAUUUGCCCAGAUGUGAGUAGCUUGGAGGGUAGGUAACGGCUCACCUGGGCGACGAUCCCUAGCUGGUCUGAGAGGAUGACCAGCCACACUGGAACUGAGACACGGUCCAGACUCCUACGGGAGGCAGCAGUGGGGAAUAUUGCACAAUGGGCGCAAGCCUGAUUCAGCCAUGCCGCGUGUAUGAAGAAGGCCUUCGGGUUGUAAAGUACUUUCAGCGGGGAGGCGUUACCCGCAGAAGAAGCACCGGCUAACUCCGUGCCAGCAGCCGCGGUAAUAC
rnacentral:rRNA from 1 species